GUAAAAAUAACAAAAUUAAACAACAAAAAAAGUCUUGUUACAAUUAAUAUUAAAACUGAUUUUAUUUAUACAGCAAUUCCCAUUUCCCUUCUAGUGCGCCCAUGGGCUGCCUAAGGAAUAUUAAGCAGAGUCAGAUUAAAAGAGAAAUAUGGAAACACCAUUUCCAUAAUCACCGAUGAUCAGUAAACUUCAAAAACUGAACCUGAGCAGUUAAAUUUCACUUAGAACAUAUUAACAUCUACUGAGACAAAAAAACCCCCAAAACCCUCAAAACAAAAAACAACUGUUGUAUUGUGCUGUUAAUUUUGCUUCCCAUGGUGUUACACUAAUGGUUUGUUCACCUCUUCCCUCUGCUUCUGUUGUUUACCCAAGUUGUCCCCUCCUACCCCAGUUGUCAAUCCACCCUGGCACCUUCCCCUUGUUCCUGAAUGUUCCCUGUUCCUCCCCUCUGGGCUCUGUCUGUCACUCUGCUACUCCUCCCAGCUUCUAGAAAGUUCAGGGAAGGUAGUUGAGCGAUAGGGCAGAGACAGAGGCAGUCCCACCCCAAACCAUCCUCAUUGGGUCUCCAUGAUGUCCUUCUGACCUUAUCCUGCUCCUCCCUUGUUUCCCAUUGGUUUGCAAUCUGUCCCCUCCCCUGGUUCCUCCCCCGGAUUUCAAUUGGUGUUGUUGCUGCUUCAGGGAUUUUCCUGGAGCAGGACUCAUGGGGUUGGAGGUCCCUGUGGGGACUCAGUAAACCUUGGGUUUUGCCCUUCAAGAGAGCCUGACUCCUGCCUCCUCCGUAGUUGCUGCAGGCUCUUCCAUCAAGCUGCUCCUCUGAUUACCAAGAUUCGAAGGGGUGUCCUCCUGCAGUUAAGAGAGCAAGGAUCUGGCAUGAAUCAGAAGCAUUCAAAAGUGAGGGACUCACGGAGCGCCUCUUUAGAGUAG
rnacentral:lncRNA from 1 species